rnacentral:lncRNA from 1 species
CUCUUUGUAACCUCUGACUGAUAAGGCGCAUUGUGACCCAGAAGAAAACUGAAAAUGACCAAGGAGUCAGAGGAUCUCUGUAGGCUCCAUGCACUCAAGAUCGUGGGCCCUGGACACACUGGAGCUGUGGCACACAGUGGUGCUUGAUGAAAUGUCCACAAAGAAGAAAGAAAAGAAGAAAGUCUCAACAAAGUACAGCACUACAGGAUGCAAAUAUCCAAGCCUUGCCUCUUCUCCAAAGAUAGUUAUAUUAGCCUGUGGGAGGUCCUUGAAUUCUAACUAUGUUGAAGGAGAGCCCGAAGACUUCCCUAUCUUGUUUGAGACACUCAUUAAAGAAGCCUAAAUGGUGUUUAAACUCAGGGUAUGUGACCUCGGAUGAUUGCUUUCACUUUCUCAGUCUGUCUGCUCUUCUCCUUAUUGCUCUUUCACAAGCUUUAUUCUAUCUUAUCCUCUUCUGUGGUCCUUCCAGCCUGUCUUUCCAGUAUAGUAACACUGAACUGAGAGGGUAGUCCCUUUUGCUUUUG